CAUAAAUCGCGCGGAUCUAGUCUUUCCUAAUUGACAUAUUUAUUGCAUUGUAAAUAACUCCCGAUACUAGCUGAUCCGGCAGACUUCGUAGUGCCUCAAUCGAUAAAUAAAAGACCUAAACUUUGUAAAAAAUAAAUUUAAAACAAACAAAAGGAAUCCGUCCGACGGGGGACACAUCAAAGGAAGAACAAAAUUGUUAUUUUUAUUUAAUCCCUAGCAUUUUCAUAUUUAUCUACCUUUUAAACCUUCUCUGGACUUCCACAAAUAAUUCAAGACCAAAAUUAGCCAAAUCGGUCCAGCCGCUCUCGAGUUUUAGCGAGACUAACGAACAGCAACUCAUUUAUAUAUAUAUAGAUAUUACAUCUAUGUUACUCGUACAUUCAUUAAAAAUAAUAUUUCACAUAGAAUAUAUUAUAUAAAAUAACAAUAAGUUGCGAAUAAAAUUAAAAUUGAUGUCAUAAAAGAUACAAAGAAAUAUUCAAAACUACCUUAACUUAUACUGCAAUAAACUUAUAAGUUUAGUAUUACUUAAGCCGGCUUUGAAUGUAAUGUGACGUAUUUAAUGUAAAUGUAAUGUAAUUUUAGUAAUUUUUUUUCUUUUUUAUUUGGUUUCCGCGAUUCCUACAUAUUAUUAAAACUACUUUUACAACAUAA